UCUCCGUAGGUGAACCUGCGGAGGGAUCAUUACUGAGUGAGGGCCCUCGUGGUCCGACCUCCAACCCAUUGUUGUCCGACUCUGUUGCUUCGGGGGCGACCCCGCCGUUUCGGCGGUGGCGCUCCCGGUGGCCAAUUAUUAAACUCUGCAUCUCUUGCGUCGGAGUCUUAAAGAAAUUUAAACAAAACUUUCAACAACGGAUCUCUUGGUUCUGGCAUCGAUGAAGAACGCAGC
rnacentral:misc_RNA from 1 species